GAGAAGGAGGAGUUGUGAGCAGGGAACAAGGAAUGCUCUGCCACCACAGAACACUCUGUUCACUUGAGGUUUGUUCGUUUUUUCACUCCAUUAUUUCUUUUUCCACGUAGGGUUUGGUGGUCCCUGGGGAGAUGUUGGCACAGCUGUUCUGGGAGAAGCAUUCCUGGUAUCCAGGCUGCUGCCCCAGCUCUGCAGCCAGGGAAAAGGGCAGGGAGAAAAAACCCUCUCUGCAGUUGGGAGAGCCACAGGUGGCUGAUUCCCUGUGGAGCUGAGAAGGCAGCAAAGGGCGGCAGAGCAUCGUUUCCAUCAAGGGGACCGUGCCUGAUCCUGAGGAAGGAGACACACUUUUUUUGGGAUGUCAGCACACCCAACCUGCUGGGAAAUGCCUGCUGCUAUCCUUGGAAGCUCAGCUCCAGACUGCACCUCAGCCCCAGGGUCCUAAGACAAGCCUAGGAAGAGGGGAAGAUCCAGCUCAAGUGAUCUUCACUGGUCCUGUCCGGGAAACUGAGGGAUGGAGAUCCAACUGCUGCAGUGAGACCCCCGGCCCCCAAAUCUGCUCAGCCUCCCCAUGCACCCCUUGAGACCAGAUGUUCCCUCUCAGACCACAUCCCCUAGGAUGAAGAAUGAUGUGCUUUUUACAGAAGAACUCAGCUUUUCCUCCCAGUGGUCUGCACUGACAGCGAGCUGCAGCUUGGGACCAAACCCUGCCACCGCAGGAGAUCACAAUGCCCUGCUCUUGAUGGUUUAUGUGUGAAAGGUGUGAAUAAACAAUUAGGAACUGAUGGA